GGCAGGAUAUAACUUUGCCAAAGCACAGAACCCCACACCACUAGAGGGAUAUCCGCAAACCACCAACCAGCCAGGCAGUUGGCUGUUCGUCACUCCAGUCACCUUUGCACCCCUGGGCCAGACUACACUCAAUUGUAGAACCUACUGAAGAGAUGAGUCUUCAAUAAAGACUUAAAGUUUGAGACGGAGUCUGCGUCUCUCACAUGGAUUGGCAGACCAUUCCAUAAAAAUGGAGCUCUAUAGGAGAAAGCCCUGCCUCCAGCUGUUUGCUUAGAAAUUCUAGGGACAAUAAGGAGGCCUGCGUCUUGUGACCGUAGCGUAUGUGUAGAUACAAAGAGCUAUGAAACCCUGUCUGCAGAUGAAGAGGUCCCAAUAAAUGUCCCAACAGAAUAAGGGUACAUCCUUGUAUACCAUGGAUUACAUGUGUACCUAUGGUAGCACAUUUUGUGAAAAAAAUACAAUUUAAAUGUCACACAAUGUAUAAACCUAUAACAGCUGGAGCAGGACAACCCUGCUGGGUGUGCAGGCUUCUGUUCCAGCCCAGCACUAAGACACCUGAUUCAAUAAAUCAAACAUCAUUAGUUAAUAAUCAAGUGUGCUAUUGCUGGGCUGGAACAGAAGUCUGCUCACCCAGUAGAUCAGGUUGGUAUUGACACUUUUUUUUGUUUACCUGAAAUUAUGCUUGGCUAAGAUUAAGAUGGCUAACCUUUACAUAUGAGUUAGCUUACUUGUACACUUUGAAAUGAUAUGCAAUAAAGUGUUGCUUAUUUGAAGUGAAGUGUUUAUUGUUUUAAUUGUUAAAUGAAAAUGUAUUCAAGAUGAACUACUGUUAAUGUUGAUUAAUCACAGAUCACAAUCCUGCAAUAAAGAGGGAAAGGGAAUCUCUAAUUUGUCUGUGUUCCUGUAUUGUAUUCUCAAAUGAACAUGGCCUUUUUGUUCAGUUGUAAGCUUCCAAUUAGGUUUAUUUGAUUGUCACUAUUUCUCAGAAUAUCAGCCAUGUGAACCCAUUUUGCAGCUAAAGAUAAUGGAAUGCAAAAGCAAUGUAGCCAUAGGCCUACAGCAGGGAUUCCUGGACAAACAUACCUGAUUCAACUCAUUGUGGGCCUGACGAUUAGUUGACAAGUUGAAUCAGGUGUGUUUGUCCAGGGCUACAAUACAAAUGCCUACUGUUGGCGAUACUCGAAGACCGGAGUUGGGAACCACUGGCCUACAGUAUGAUGGCAUUAGCCGUAUGGGCAUUUGCAAUGCACCCCUUGUCAUUGUGCAUCUGAAGCAGAGAACACCUUAACUUACACACUGUUUACAUA
rnacentral:lncRNA from 1 species